GGAUGGCCGAGCGGUCUAAGGCGCUGCGUUCAGGUCGCAGUCUCCCCUGGAGGCGUGGGUUCGAAUCCCACUUCUGACAAGCGCUCUUUUCCGGUAUUUCAGAAGAGAAAUCUUCGACGACCGCACACCAAGAGAGGCCCUCAAACACAGAGGACCGUACGUUUUACACACAAUCCAAAGUCUAAAUGAAUGUCUGUGGGGAAGAAAAAGUCUGACAGGACGUGGUCGUGUGAUUCUGAACUCCCAACUUCGGAGGAGGUUGAGGCGGGAGGAUGUCGCCACCACACUCCAGCUUAGGCGACAGAGCGAGA
rnacentral:lncRNA from 1 species